rnacentral:rRNA from 1 species
GUCCACGCCCUAAACGAUGUCGACUAGGUGUUGGGGAAGGAGACUUCCUUAGUACCGCAGCUAACGCGUGAAGUCGACCGCCUGGGGAGUACGGUCGCAAGAUUAAAAACUCAAAAGGAAUUGACGGGGACCCGCACAAGCGGUGGAUGAUGUGGAUUAAUUCGAUGCAACGCGAAAAACCUUACCUACCCUUGACAUGUACGGAAGCCCGGUGAGAGCUGGGUGUGCCCGAAAGGGAGCCGUAACACAGGUGCUGCAUGGCUGUCGU